rnacentral:rRNA from 1 species
AUACGUAGGUGGCGAGCGUUGUCCGGAAUUACUGGGCGUAAAGGAUGCGUAGGUGGAUACUUAAGUGGGAUGUGAAAUCCCCGGGCUCAACCCGGGAACUGCAUUCCAAACUGGGUAUCUAGAGUGCAGGAGAGGAAAGCGGAAUUCCUAGUGUAGCGGUGAACUGCGUAGAUAUUAGGAGGAACACCAGUGGCGAAGGCGGCUUUCUGGACUGUAACUGACACUGAGGCAUGAAAGCGUGGGUAGCAAACAGGAUUAGAUACCCUGGUAGUCCACGCCGUAAACGAUGGGUACUAGGUGUAGGAGGUAUCGACCCCUUCUGUGCCGUCGUUAACACAAUAAGUACCCCGCCUGGGGAGUACGGUCGCAAGACUAAAACUCAAAUGAAUUGACGGGG